AUUGAACGCUGGCGGAAUGCUUUACACAUGCAAGUCGAGCGGCAGCGCGGGGCAACCUGGCGGCGAGCGGCGAACGGGUGAGUAAUGCAUCGGAACGUACCCAGUCGUGGGGGAUAACUGUCCGAAAGGACAGCUAAUACCGCAUACGUCCUGAGGGAGAAAGCGGGGGAUCGCAAGACCUCGCGCGAUUGGAGCGGCCGAUGCCGGAUUAGCUAGUUGGUAGGGUAAAGGCCUACCAAGGCGACGAUCCGUAGCUGGUCUGAGAGGACGACCAGCCACACUGGAACUGAGACACGGUCCAGACUCCUACGGGAGGCAGCAGUGGGGAAUUUUGGACAAUGGGGGCGAACCCUGAUCCAGCCAUUCCGCGUGAGUGAAGAAGGCC
rnacentral:rRNA from 1 species